rnacentral:rRNA from 1 species
GAUGAACGCUAGCGGCAGGCCUAACACAUGCAAGUCGAGGGAGAGGUUACCUUCGGGUAACCAAAACCGGCGCACGGGUGCGUAACGCGUAUACAAUCUGCCUUUCACAUAGGGAUAGCCCGAAGAAAUUUGGAUUAAUACCUAAUGGUAUAUAAGAGCGGCAUCGUUUUUAUAUUAAAGCUACGGUGGUGAAAGAUGAGUAUGCGUUCUAUUAGCUAGUUGGAGAGGUAACGGCUCCCCAAGGCGACGAUAGAUAGGGGUUCUGAGAGGGAUGUCCCCCACACUGGUACUGAGAUACGGACCAGACUCCUACGGGAGGCAGCAGUGAGGAAUAUUGAACAAUGGUCGGAAGACUGAUCCAGCCAUGCCGCGUGCAGGAUGAAGGUCCUAUGGAUUGUAAACUGCUUUUGUAGGGGAAGAAUAAGGAGUACGUGUACUUUGAUGACGGUACCUUACGAAUAAGCAGCGGCUAACUCCGUG